GCACCGAAGAAAAGCAGCGGAUGGU
rnacentral:sRNA from 1 species